GGGAGGCGUUGACCAAACAAAACCUUGCCCUUGAUGUCUUCUCAAGGCCGGAGGGCUUCCCCCCUGGUCUGCUUCAAUUCCCCCUCAUGUUGUGCCUCUGCGGAUCCUUCUGCGCGGUGUAAUCAGUCACGUUCCUGUUGCUAAGAUGACGAAUUGUUCGCAUGAAAAACCCUGAGGCCAUCCAGACCGAGCUUCGAACGGUGACCCCUCACUUUUCACAAAUCACUGAGGUCCAACAGUUUAGAUGCGGUGGCAUUCUCAGCUGUUCACCAGACCAGAGAACUUCUACCAGUGCAACAGUGAUAGAGCUUAAGCCAAUGUAAUGUGACACGGCUACCGGCAGUCUGCGACAACUGGUUCAGCACCACUCAAUUGUUCACGGCAUGAAUGUGGCACACUGCAACAUCUGUGACCAUUCGGAGCCCACGUGCGAAACAAUGCUGAAGCACUUGUGCUACCACCACCUGGACAGUCCCCUGCAACUCAUCUGUCGCGAUGACGAGCAAGUCAAAGAGUUGUCAUCAGAGCUCACAAAUCUUGCUGACAGCUCAUCUUCCGUUUUUGCAGACGCGUAACCGACAUUCCAAUUGUCGCCCCUGCCCUGAAAACCUGCCCCCUCUGCACAAACCAUGUUGUGACCUUUGUCGAACUCUCAAAUCACUUUGUAGCAGCUUCCCAGAUUAGGUACCUAAUUUCAGAUAUCUUGCAGUUAAUGCUGAA